rfam:Omnitrophica WOR_2 bacterium RIFCSPLOWO2_01_FTLL_41_12 rifcsplowo2_01_scaffold_4519, whole genome shotgun sequence.
GCGGGUGUAGUUCAAUGGCAGAACAAUAGCCUUCCAAGCUAUAUAUGUCGGUUCGAUUCCGAUCACCCGCU